UACGUAGGGUGCAAGCGUUGUCCGGAAUUAUUGGGCGUAAAGAGCUCGUAGGCGGUCUGUCACGUCGGCUGUGAAAACCCGAGGCUCAACCUCGGGCCUGCAGUCGAUACGGGCAAACUAGAGUACUGCAGGGGAGACUGGAAUUCCUGGUGUAGCGGUGAAAUGCGCAGAUAUCAGGAGGAACACCCGUAGCGAAGGCGGCACUCUGGGCCGAUACUGACACUGAGGAGCGAAAGCGUGGGGAGCGAACAGG
rnacentral:rRNA from 1 species